rnacentral:lncRNA from 1 species
AAUCAGCGAGACUCCGUGGGCGCAGGACCCUCCGAGCCAGGUGUGGGAUAUAGUCUCGUGGUGCGCCGUUUUUUAAGCCGGUCUGAAACGCGCAAUAUUCGGGUGGGAGUGACCCGAGUUUUCCAGGUGCGUCCGUCACCCCUUUCUUUGACUCGGAAAGGGAACUCCCUGACCCCUUGCGCUUCCCGAGUGAGGUAAUGUCUCGCCCUGCUUCCGCUCGCGCACGGUGCGCGCACCCGCUGACCUGCGCCCACUGUCUGGCACUCCCUAGUGAGAUGAACCCGGUACCUCAGAUGGAAAUGCAGAAAUCACCGUCUUCUGCGUCGCUCACGCUGGGAGCUGUAGACCGGAGCUGUUCCUAUUCGGCCAUCUUGGCUCCUUCCUCAUCCUUAUUCAAUUCUUGAACGGUUCCACACAAAAAUAACUGAAGAUGGGCCUCCAGUCUUACGACGCCACAAAGUGCCCUGACAUCACUGAACACGAAAACUCAUUGCAGAGUUUUAUUGCAUGAAAGAUGUUUGUGAUGUUUGCAAUUGGAUGACUCAAGUCUUUGUCAUGGAGAC